AGAUUCCUGAAAAGAGUAUUAAAAGAUACUUAAAGCAGGACAGUGGCCAUGGAAGUUGGAAUCUGCUAAGGAGUAUGUAACAACUCACCUAUGGAAUCAACUAGCCCUGCAAACGGACAGCUCUGGA
rnacentral:ncRNA from 1 species